rnacentral:rRNA from 1 species
AAAUUGAAGAGUUUGAUCAUGGCUCAGAUUGAACGCUGGCGGCAGGCCUAACACAUGCAAGUCGAACGGUAACAGGAAACAGCUUGCUGUUUCGCUGACGAGUGGCGGACGGGUGAGUAAUGUCUGGGAAACUGCCUGAUGGAGGGGGAUAACUACUGGAAACGGUAGCUAAUACCGCAUAACGUCGCAAGACCAAAGAGGGGGACCUUCGGGCCUCUUGCCAUCGGAUGUGCCCAGAUGGGAUUAGCUAGUAGGUGGGGUAACGGCUCACCUAGGCGACGAUCCCUAGCUGGUCUGAGAGGAUGACCAGCCACACUGGAACUGAGACACGGUCCAGACUCCUACGGGAGGCAGCAGUGGGGAAUAUUGCACAAUGGGCGCAAGCCUGAUGCAGCCAUGCCGCGUGUAUGAAGAAGGCCUUCGGGUUGUAAAGUACUUUCAGCAGGGAGGAAGGGAGUAAAGUUAAUACCUUUACUCAUUGACGUUACCCGCAGAAGAAGCACCGGCUAACUCCGUGCCAGCAGCCGCGGUAAUACGGAGGGUGCAAGCGUUAAUCGGAAUUACUGGGCGUAAAGCGCACGCAGGCGGUUUGUUAAGUCAGAUGUGAAAUCCCCGGGCUCAACCUGGGAACUGCAUCUGGUACUGGCAAGCUUGAGUCUCGUAGAGGGGGGUAGAAUUCCAGGUGUAGCGGUGAAAUGCGUAGAGAUCUGGAGGAAUACCGGUGGCGAAGGCGGCCCCCUGGACGAAGACUGACGCUCAGGUGCGAAAGCGUGGGGAGCAAACAGGAUUAGAUACCCUGGUAGUCCACGCCGUAAACGAUGUCGACUUGGAGGUUGUGCCCUUGAGGCGUGGCUUCCGGAGCUAACGCGUUAAGUCGACCGCCUGGGGAGUACGGCCGCAAGGUUAAAACUCAAAUGAAUUGACGGGGGCCCGCACAAGCGGUGGAGCAUGUGGUUUAAUUCGAUGCAACGCGAAGAACCUUACCUGGUCUUGACAUCCACGGAAGUUUUCAGAGAUGAGAAUGUGCCUUCGGGAACCGUGAGACAGGUGCUGCAUGGCUGUCGUCAGCUCGUGUUGUGAAAUGUUGGGUUAAGUCCCGCAACGAGCGCAACCCUUAUCCUUUGUUGCCAGCGGUCCGGCCGGGAACUCAAAGGAGACUGCCAGUGAUAAACUGGAGGAAGGUGGGGAUGACGUCAAGUCAUCAUGGCCCUUACGACCAGGGCUACACACGUGCUACAAUGGCGCAUACAAAGAGAAGCGACCUCGCGAGAGCAAGCGGACCUCAUAAAGUGCGUCGUAGUCCGGAUUGGAGUCUGCAACUCGACUCCAUGAAGUCGGAAUCGCUAGUAAUCGUGGAUCAGAAUGCCACGGUGAAUACGUUCCCGGGCCUUGUACACACCGCCCGUCACACCAUGGGAGUGGGUUGCAAAAGAAGUAGGUAGCUUAACCUUCGGGAGGGCGCUUACCACUUUGUGAUUCAUGACUGGGGUGAAGUCGUAACAAGGUAACCGUAGGGGAACCUGCGGUUGGAUCACCUCCUUACCUUAAAGAAGC